rnacentral:rRNA from 1 species
AGAGUUUGAUCCUGGCUCAGGAUGAACGCUGGCGGCGUGCUUAACACAUGCAAGUCGAACGAAGCAUUUAAGACAGAUUACUUCGGUUUGAAGUCUUUUAUGACUGAGUGGCGGACGGGUGAGUAACGCGUGGGUAACCUGCCUCAUACAGGGGGAUAGCAGCUGGAAACGGCUGGUAAUACCGCAUAAGCGCACAGUACCACAUGGUACAGUGUGAAAAACUCCGGUGGUAUGAGAUGGACCCGCGUCUGAUUAGGCUUGUUGGCGGGGUAACGGCCACCAAGGCGACGAUCAGUAGGGGUUCUGAGAGGAAGGUCCCCCACAUUGGAACUGAGACACGGUCCAAACUCCUACGGGAGGCA